AGAUCCGGCGUCGAGCAAUUGCGGCCAUUAACGCCCUUCUGGGUGAUCUGUAAAAGUACUGGUCGUUUUGUAAGAACAUUAAUGCCCUUUUGACCGUCCUUCACGGCGCCCUCUCAUUCAUUGCCCUUUUUACUUCUGACGGGACGCGCCUUACCAAACAUCCACGCUUUCUCUACUUAUAAAUACCAUCUCUGGUUUCGCUCUUGAGAACAC
rnacentral:lncRNA from 1 species